rnacentral:lncRNA from 1 species
UCUCGAUCACCAUCAUCUUUGGUUUCAUUUAAUUGUUAAAUUAUGGAAACCAUGUCGUCCAAUACAUGUCAAGACUUGAGGUAUUUAGAAUAAGCCUUCCACACUCCAACCUCUAAAUAUCAUUUUCUGUUCUCUCGGUUCUAUACACCCAAAUCCUAGCCCCACAUUCAACUUUUCUAAAAACCCACACCCACAGCUCGUUCUCUCCCUCUCGCGUUUUUUUUCUGGCGGCCGGAGCUCUAGCCGGAGCACGACGGAGCCGGCAACAACGAUAGCAGCGGCGGCGGCGGUUGUUUUUCCGGCCAUUUUUUUUCCGGUGACACGCACUCACACCCACUUCCUAUGUAGAAAGAGAUAGAUCAGAAGAGACGAGAGAGAGACCUGUUGAAGAAAGAGAGAGAUAUGGCGGCGAUGAUGGUGCUUUUGGUCCGACUGGUUGGUGACGGUUCGGUUUUGGGUUCGGAUUAACUCGGGUUUCGGUUCGGUUCGAGGGUAGUUCGGUCAAACCUGGUCAACACAGUGAGCUGACUUGGUCAACUCAACCGGUCAACUCAGUUGACCCGGUCAACUCAGCCACCUUCUUUUUCGGCGUUUCGACAUGAAGAUUCGGAAUACUAUAGUUGCACGCUAGCGAUUCACGUUCUUGGAACGGCACUACGGAAACACGCUAGGCUAGCUUUGCACAGGAAUGUCAAG